UAAAGUAAAGUUACGUGCGUUGGUUCAAUACACAACAUGUCAUUUUCUUUGUUGAACCUUUCGUUUUACAGUCAACCUCAACUGGGAGCAGCUUGAAGAAAGCGUUCUGCAAGAAUUGUUCACGCGCAACUCAAGACAAAAAAAACAAUAAAAUGGCUGAGUGAUGGCUCGCAUCUUGACAAAUCUGGAAGUCGGGCCACUCGUCAGUGGAGGCUACAUUUGAAUACGAGUAUGUGAUGACUGUUGGACACUACAUUAGUGCUGGCUCCACGAGAGAAGAAACCAUCCUGGACAGGUCGCCAGCCAAUCACAGCGGCUUGUUUCUUUUCCCCAUGCUAUUCUCAAUCUACAUGCAACUACUUGGCCAAGUUGUUCCCAAUUAUGAUAGAUGUCCAGCCAUCCAUUUUCUAUACUGCCUUCCCUCG